GUGACCGGAUGCCGAUCUCGAAAACCUGUCCCAGUUCGGACUGGAGUCUGCAACCCGACUCCACGAAGUUGGAUUCGCUAGUAAUCGCGCAUCAGCCAUGGCGCGGUGAAUACGUUCCCGGGCCUUGUACACACCGCCCGUCAAGCCAUGGGAGCCGGGGGCGCCUGAAGUCCGGGACCGCGAGGACCGGCCUAAGGCGAAACUGGUGACUGGGGCUAAGUCGUAACAAGGUAAC
rnacentral:rRNA from 1 species